AGGAGGAACAAUACUGGUGGCGGCCAGCUCUCCAGCCCUGGAGUCAGCUUCCACAGUAACUACGGAGCUCUCAGUCUGCAGGGGCCUGGAUGCUCCAGGGGCGG
rnacentral:pre_miRNA from 1 species